AACCCUUUGAUUUUGGGGGUUAGAAAAUGCUUGGGAUUUUUUAAUACAUGCUAGUAAAAAACAUACAGGUGAGUAAAUUUGUAAUUAUUUACAAAAAGUUACCAGGAUAGAUCGAUAUAAUAUUUUGAUUUUCCUAUGACAACGAGGUUAGCCCACAUUUUUACUGAAACAAAGAACUACAAAUAGCAGCAGUAUAGAAUAUUGUACAAUUAACUAUAGUUAGAUACAGAAAACACCACAAAAAUUGUCCUAUCAGGUGCCAGCAGACGCGGUUAUACCUGAGAUUUGAGUUUUUCUAAUAAAAAUGGCACAAAGAAUGUUAAGAGAAAUUUAUAAAAAAGAAGUAGAAGCUUUACGAAAAGAUAAAAUAUUUCGAUGUAUAACUGAAUAUCUCUACCAAAAUAACUUCUUAUUAAUUUUGAAACAUUAAAUGAUGGAAAGUAAAUAGGAUUAGAUACCCUAGUAACCCAUCACCUAAAUAAAAANUNGUUCUUUAGAAAAGAAACCUUCGCCUGAGUAUUAUAAUCUACUGAUUGAAAUUCAAAAAAUCUGACUGUUCGUACACCACUUAGAGGAUUGUGUAGUUUAAUGCGAUAAUCCGCGAAUCACCUUACCUUAAUUAGAAAUACAAGUGCUGCAUGGCCGUCUUCAGUUUGUAUAUAAAAUUAACAGACUAAACUUUAUAAAAAAUGAAGUCAGGUUUUAUGGCCUUUAUAUUGAGGGAUUUAUGCAAUACAUUAUUUAUAACAAAAACAAAUAAAAUUUCGGAUAAAAUUUGAAAUAUUUAUUGAAGUUGAAUUUAAUAGUAAUUAGAAUUAAGAAGAAUCUAAUGAAUUGGUUAAAACGUUAGUACAAAUCGCCCGUCACCUUUAAUAAUUAAAGAAUUUAAUUGACAAUUUAAUAUUACUUUAAAAAUUAAAGCAAGUCGUAACAUAGUGAGGGGAAGGGAACUUCUCCUUGAAAA
rnacentral:rRNA from 1 species